UGGGGAAUAUUGUACAAUGGGUGAAACCCUGAUGCAGCGACGCCGCGUGAACGAAGAAGGUAUUCGUAUCGUAAAGUUCUGUCCUAUGGGAAGAUAAUGACAGUACCAUAGAAGAAAGCUCCGGCUAAAUACGUGCCAGCAGCCGCGGUAAUACGUAUGGAGCGAGCGUUGUCCGGAAUUAUUUGGCGUAAAGGGUACGCAGGCGGUUUAAUAAGUCGAAUGUUAAAGAUCGGGGCUCAACCCCGCAAAGCAUUGGAAACUGAUAAACUUGACUAGUGGAGAGGAAAGUGGAAUUCCUAGUGUAGUGGUGAAAUACGUAGAUAUUAGGAGGAAUACCAGUAGCGAAGGCGACUUUCUGGACACAAACUGACGCUGAGGUACGAUAGCGUAGGGAGCAAACAGG
rnacentral:rRNA from 1 species